rnacentral:lncRNA from 1 species
UUAAGACACUCUCUUUCAUUACAAGAUCAAUACUCGUUUUGUUGUGUUAAACGGUUUGAUUCGAACGUUUUUAUAGCCAUAUAGUGUUUUUAGAUUAUAUAUUCUUUUACUAAAAGGAUUAAUAGUAAACUCCCACUAAGUUUCUCAUAUACGAGUAUUAAAUUGAUUUUAUAUAUUUUGAAUGUUAAGAGUUAACUUUUUCAUGCAACUCUUUUAAUUUAUAUUCUUUUAUUAUAUAAGCAAGCUGUAGUUACGUACAUUUACAGAUAAACUUCAUCGAAUUAUUGACGAUGAUAACAAUAAUGUAUACAAAUCCCUGAUUAUAAAAAUUUCUCUGCACACCAUAACAAUGAGAAAAAACAAUUCACCUAUAAAUCAUACUUAAAAUGUAACUUCAACAAAAAUGAAUUUCAUGACUUUUUCUAUAAACUCAAAUCCGAUUAUUCAAUCAUGGAAUCACAUUUUUUUUUUCCAAAAUAAAAAUUGAUGGCUUCGAUCCCACUCGGUGUGCUUCACUUCUUUGCCCUCAAAAUACUAAUAAGUCAAAAAUAUCCAAACCAUGAAAGUCAAAGAGGAGUUGGUAUUGCCAGCAAGUCUAUGUAUAUAACUGUUUUAUUCAUGUAAUAAACGCGUUUAUGAAACAAAAUGGUACUAAUCCUAAAAUUGAAACAUAAUUGCUUUUAGAUUUAACUUGGGAAGAUUCCCGCAUUGCGUGAUUGGACACGCCAAAGGAAUGCACAAACUGGAAACACUUUGUCUUAUCUUGUAUUUACUUGAAUCCUCUACUCAUUAUUGGCACAAAUUUUUGUUCAGACACUACAAUAAAAUGCAUGUAGCUAUUUAAAAAUUCAUGUUUUAGUCUUCAAUCAAGUACGUUUUCUGUUUUGUAUAAGCUUUUGUACAUUUAACUCUAUAAAAUUUGUUUGUUUAUGUUUUCAAGUUAUGGUCAUUGAUUACCCACCAACUCUUGAUAGCUAAAAAGGACUUCAUAAUUAUAUAAUAUACUAAUAAAAAACAUACAUACAUAUGUAAUCCAUAUUGAUUGGUAACAUAAGACCGUCUAUCUAUUUUAUUACAUCAGACGUCUAUUUCAAUUUCAGCAUCAAGAUAUUGGGAACCCAUUAAUGAUAAAAAUGAGAUAUUAGACAUUUAUUGAAAGAUUUAGACAAUUUGAAAGAGAAACAUGAUGAUAAUGUAUAAAACCACAAAAAUCUUCGCAAAUCUGUGUCCCCUUCUAUAAUAUUAAUUAAUAUGUUUUAAUAAAUGAAAUCAUAUAUACGGUUGUUCAUGCAUGAUUCUGAUUGAUAAGUUAUCGUNNNNNNNNNNNNNNNNNNNNNNNNNNNNNNNNNNNNNNNNNNNNNNNNNNNNNNNNNNNNNNNNNCAUCAUAUAUUUGUUAGUUAUGAUUUUCAAAAAAAAAAAAAAAAACAAUAAUUCAGUUGAUUCUUGAAGGUGGAACUUUAAAAAAUACUACUGUACUAAUUUACCUGGUGGAGAAGCUACGUUGGUGAUGUUCUUUUUUGUGUUUCUUCCAUAAUCUUCAAAAAUCCUGGCCUCUGGGGAGUUGGGUGGCAGCUUCAUAAGCUCAGAAAACACACACAAACAGUAAAUCACUAUAUGAGUCAGCAACAAAAGGAAAUUUUGUUCUUGAUUCUGAUGUGAUUACUCCAAGUGGUAGCAUCCCCAAAUUCCACAAAACUACAUCUUUAUUCCAACCACGGAGUAAUAUAAAUGUAACUAAACAAAGAAAGAACAAAAUACUAAUAUUCAGAAGAAACAAAUACUGUAUGAAAGACAAAACUUUGGUCAGUGUGCUAAUUUGCAGCCCAUCCACAUAAAUCCACAACAAUAGUAGCUGGAAAAAUAGAAAUUUUUUUUUAUUAACUGUAGAAGAAGUAUGUCAGCAAUGACACAAUAAGCUCUAAAUUGAAGGCAAACCAACAUAAAAAGUUAAAAAGUUAAUAAACAAACAUAAAAAAAAGCCAUGAUUGCAAUGUUAGGAAAUGAACAAAGGUUGGGUUAAUCAAGUCAGAUGACCAAUUACCAGUAUCACAAACAACAAAUUAAGAAAUUAUCCAAGGAAUCAUAUGGGAUCCAGAUAAGCUCCAGGACCAGAAAACCAUAUAUACAUUAAAUUUCUUAAAAUCAAUGGGCAUAGAGAUAAAAAGUUAGGACUUGUGUGAACUUCAAAUCCAAACACAUGAGGAUAGCAAACAUAAAGAUGAUGAAUUGAAUAAAAACACCUCAUCCACUCAAUUUGUUCUAUCAUUACAACAAUGGUAAGCUACUAUAUGCUUCGUCAGAUCUUCAAUUAAAGUACUUCACAACCUAAAAAAAGCGGACAACAUUUGGGGUUUUUUACAGCAUUAAAGAUCAAGAAAUCAUACAGAAAGCAAAAUUAAAAUAGAAAUCGAUACAUAAAUUCACUAAUAGAGAGAGACCUUACCAGACGCUGGAGAUCAGUGUGUGAGAGAGAAAUCCAACAGCUAGAGCAAGCAGCGGUCGAAAUGCAAUUCAGGCUGUUAACAUGGAAAAGGGGGAAAAAUCAAAACAAAAGAAAAAGGAAAAGAAAACGUAUUGUAUUGUGUUUGUGGUCUCGAUAGAGGAAAGGGGGUCCAUGUUCACCUCCAAAGGGGAAAUCGACAGGUAUUCCUUCACAAAGAAGAAGCAGUGAGGCUUGAAAACAUAGCAGAGGUCGAGUAGUAGUCAAUCGGUGGUGCUUCAAUAUGGAUGAGGUUUGAGGAGCCGGUGUUGUAUUGGAUAAAGGGGCGUUGAAAAUGCUGGGGUGACUGGUGGUUUGCUUCCGGUGGCAGAAGUCGAGAGAAUAGUGGGGAUGGAGGAAAACGUCAAUGAAGAGGAAGGAAGGAACUGAAUUGGGUAUAUCGAUGAAGACGAAGGAAGCGGUGGAUACCGACACUAAUUACGUUGUUAUUGGUUAAAACUGGGUGGAAUCAACACGUUGUUACUGUCACUUUAACACUAACACGUACCAAUUAUGAACAGUGGCUGUGACUAAAUGGAAAAGAAAAAAAAAUCAAA